rnacentral:rRNA from 1 species
GCAAAAACCUAGCUCAGCCACAAACACAAAAAUCAAACAAACAAAAUUAUCCUAACCAAAAUCAACUAAAACAUUUUUUCACUAUCUUAGUAUAGGCGAUAGAAAAGAU